GUUUAUUUUUGACUCAGAAGGAGGAAAGUAGAGCAGCAGUCAAUCAGUGAUGAAGAGGCGGGCUACAUGAAAUGUCCAAUCAGGCGAGCCGUGGGAGGAGGUCUCUUGGGUCUCUUCCGGUGUGUAGACAUUGUUUACCUGUUUGGAAUACAAAACUGGGAGGAGAAUGCUUGCUGGAUCUCAUUUACUGGUUUCGAUGUCCUGUGGCCUGACUAGCAAAGAACCUGGGAGACCCUCUAGCCACGGAAUGGAGGUGGUGACCCUUGAGGAUGUGGUUGUGAACUUCAGCAAUGAGGAGUGGACUUUGCUGAGUCCAUCCCAAAAGAACCUCUACAGAGAUGUGAUGGGCGAAACCUUUAGGAACAUGACUGCAAUAGGAGGACUUGGGGAUAUGCAGGAGGCUGAAAAACAAUGCAAGAUUUACUGGAGAUACUUAAGAAAUGAAAAGCUAGAGAAAUCCUAUGGACAUACAUCUUGGAGUCAGUGUAAAGAAGUAUUCCUUUGUACUGCAGAAGGUAAUGUGAAUGUGAAAGAAACAGAAACACACCACAAUGUUCAGAUCCAUGGAAAAUAUUGCAGUGGAGAGAAACCCUAUGUAUGUCAGCAAUGUGGAAAAGGGUUCACCAAAUCUGGACAUUGUAAGCAACAUGAAAGAAUUCACACACAAGAGAAACCAUAUGUAUGUGAGCAAUGUGGGAAAGCUUUUAACACAUGUGCAUAUUGUAAGGCACAUGAAAUAAUUCACACUGGAGUGAAACCAUAUGUAUGUAAGCAAUGUGGGAAAGCUUUUAACACACAGGCAGAUUGUAAAAAACAUGAAAGAAUUCACACUGGAGAAAAACCCUAUGUAUGUAAGCAAUGUGGGAAAGAUUUUACCACACCGUGAGAUUUUAAGAAACAUGAAAGAAUUCACACUGGAGAGCAACACUAUGUGUAAGCAAUGUGGGAAAGGUUUUACCAUCUCUGGACAUUGUAAGCAACAUGAAAGAAUUCACACUGGCGAGAAACCCUAUAUAUGUAAGCAAUGUGGGAAAGCUUUUGCCCAACAUGGACAUUGUAAGCAACAUGAAAGAAUUCACAAUGGAGAGAGACCAUAUGUAUAAGCAAUGUGGGAAAGUUUUUACCCUACAUGGACAUUGUAAACAACAUGAAAGUUCACACUCAAGAUAAAACCAGUGUAUAUAAGCAUCAUGAGAAUGGUUUGAGCACACGUCCUUAUUGCAUAAUGCAUGAAAAUCUUCACACUGGGCAGAAAACUUAUAUAUGUAAGGAAUGUGCAAAAGGUUUCAGCAGAAAUGCUCAUUGUCCAAUACAUUAUAAAAUUUACACUGUUGAGAAAGCCUGUGCAUGUGAAGAAUGUGGAAAAGCUUUCACCACACAUGGAUACUGUAAAAUACAUCAAUUACUUCACACUGUUGAGAAACCCUAUGUAUAUAACAACGUGGCAGAGGUUUUACCGCAUACAGUCACUGCAAAACAGAUGAAAGAAUUCACACUGGGAAGAACCACUGGCUAUAUAAGCAAGUGGAGACACUUUCAGCAGCCAGAUUGUAAGUGAAAUACAUGAAGAAACUCACACAAGAGAUAAAUCCUAUGUGCUAUGGGAAUACUCUCAGCACACAUGAUCAUUGUUACAUAUCUGAAAGAGCUCACUGGGCAGAGGUCCUAUGUGGAUUAACAAUGUGAGAAAUAUGGCAAUCCAUGUUUGUUGUUAAAUACAUAGAAAAAGCAUCAGUCUUCAGACAAUUUAGAUCUAAGUUUACUUUAAAAAUCCCAAGGAGACCUGAAGAAAUAACCAAUACAGAAGUUUGAUGUCAAUAUUUCUUCACAAAUUUUCCAGAAAUGACAAAUCUGUGGUGGAGCUCUACUCGAGUGCACAUGUUGUAUGGUUUUCAGUUAACCACUUGUACCUCUUUAGAUUUUUUAAAAUGUCUUUGUGCUUCAACAUGGCAUCUUGUAAUUAAGCAUGGUAAACUGAAAUGGGUGUUAACUUUCAAGUAUGGAUAGUGUCUAUGUACUUAAUGUUUUGUCUUUAAAAUUGAAUUUUUAUAUUUUGUGGUGAAUUGUAAUGUUUAUUUAAAGAGAAAAAACAGCAAAAAUAUAGAAAUAAUACAGAAUUUCAGAAAAAUAAGAAAUCACUAGUUGAUUAGUUACAUAUUUUCAUCUCAGAAGUAGUUGUUCAAGUUACAAAAUAAAGCAUACAAAGUGCUAUUCAAAUAAUGACACUGUGAACAGUUCACCUCAAUGAUCCAACAAAGACUUAUUAAUAUGCUUACUGUCCUACAAACUUGUUUUUUUUUUCUUUUCUUAAAAAGGGUAAGAUUAAACAUGACAAAACAGAACAGAAAAGUUCAUAAGAAAGCAAGUUAAGGAAACACAGAUUUCAAAGCACGUCCCCUGGAGAUGUUCACUGUCUAUCUUACUGUCUCUAGUUUUUCUUCCAAAUAGUUGUUCCCAUUUAGAAUGCAUUGAAUAUAUACUGAAUAUUAUAGAACUAAUCAAAUAAUUACAGGAUGAUGCAGCCUUUUUCUAUCUUCAAGACAGAUUUUGGGGAUGUCGAUAAUGACUACCAUAAUGUCUCUCAUUCUCUUCAUAGUAGCUGUCUUUAUCUUUAUGUAUGCUGAUAUUCAAGAUAAGAGACUAGACUAAUAUCACUCUGAACAGUGAAUAAUAGCCUUCUGAGAAGGAGAAAGGUGAGGAAUUGCCUAAAAAAGAAGGCAGAGGGCAUUGUAAAAAGUGUAUCAGGAUGUAAAAGCUACAGUAGUCUUAUUGCUCCGGUUAGUUUGAUUAUAUUUUGUUCCAGCCUGUCUACUCAUAUUAGAUUUGAGGGCACAGAGAGAUAACCCAAAAAUAGCAGGCUAUACCAUGGUAACUAUCCUUAAUUACCUGUUAACUUAAACUGAAACCCUGUAUUACUUACAUUGUCUUCUAUGACUGAUCUUAUUUGAAGCUGGUUUGUUUGAAUGCUAUUUGGCCUUGACCGAUUUUAUUCACAUUUGGUAUGCUUGCUGGUAUCAAGUCCAAGAGUAGAUCCAACUAAUCUGAAGGUGACAGGAUGUAAAAGAUGUAUUUUGGGGGGCUGGGGAUUUAGCUCAGUGGCUUAAGAACCUACCUGGCAAAUGUGAGGUCAUGAGUUUGAUCUCCAGUAACAAAAAAUAAAUUAAUAAAAGAUAUCCAUUCCAUUUAUGUUUUUAUUUAAAGAGAAAAAAGAAAGGAAAUAAAAAACAAGCAGAAAACAUGUAUAAAUAAUACAGAAUUUCAAGAGAAAUAAUACAGUAAGAAAUCACUAGUUAAUAGGUUACAUAUUUUCAUCUUAGAAACAGUUGUCCAAAUUAUACAAUUAAAGUGUAUAAAGUGGACAUUCAUACAGUGAGUUUGCAGACAGUUCCAUUCAAUGAUCCAACAAAAGCUCAGUAAUAUGGCUUGCCAUCCUACACACACAAACAUGCAGUUAUAUCCCUGAUACCACCUUCCUUUCCUCUCUUUUUUACAAUAAAAAUUACACUUUUUGUGUUUUUUACCCCCACAGUUCUAAUUACUUUUUUUGAAGAGAAUAAAACCUAACAUGACUAAACAAAACAGAUUCAGUUAGAACAGAAGGAUAGGCAUAGUACAUGAUGCAAAAAUAGAAUAUCAGGUGAUGAAAAAUGGUUACCAUUGUGCCUCUUGCUAUUUUUAAGAAGAGUUGCCUAUCUCAUCAGGUAUAAUAGAAUUGAUCAAAAUGGUGCAGAACAAGACCAAUAAAACCUACACUGAGAACUUACAGGAUUUCAAAAGAAGAUAAUAGUCAAACCAUAAUGGGCAUGAUAGUAAAUCUUAUUGCCUUCAAAGUGGUUGCCUAUACCCUCAAACUUGAUACUAUCAAACAAUAUAGAAUACAGUAAAAUCAGACAGAAAAAGAUGGGGAGAGCAAUAGUGGGGUUCAAAACAGAUUAAUAGGAAAACAAAAAAAAGUUACUAUAAUAUAUUCCACAAUUUUUUAAAUUUAGUUUUCCCUUAAUUGAAAAAAGUUAAGUAAACAGAUUAAUAUUUGAAAAAGAGUGGAGAUUGAGAUAAAAGAGGACAUUGUGAUAGAACAACACAGGUCAGAACUGAACAAUUUAAACAUUAUUGUGUUUCAGCCCCAAAUAAUCUAACAUAAUAUUAGUCACCAUAGUGCCUCUUUCCUUGAAUUAUUUGAGUAUAACUUCGUACACUGUAGCAUCAAGCAUAUUAAGACAGUGUGAAGCCAUUCAAGAGAAUGAAAGAAUUACAGAGUAUUUAGAACCAGUUAACAGAAAAUGAACAAUGGUUUCUAUAUUAUUUCUUUGCCCAUAAAAUUUUGUUUAUACUAUCGCAUAUAGUAAAAUACAGUAAGAUACAACAUGUUAAAACCAGUGGAAACAGAUGUACAACAGCUUGAUGGGAUUUCAAAACAAGAUGAUAUUAAAUCAGCACUAGCUUUUAUGAUGUGUUGUUUUCUACAGAAUAGCUAUUCGUACUAUAACUGAUACUAAAAUCGAACAACCCACGUUAAAACCAUUGCACUUAAUGAGUGAAAACAUUAUAUGGAUUCAAACCAAUAUGAUUGGGAAUCAUGAUUACUAUGUACUUCUAUGUAUUAUCAUUUCUUACACUAGGGAAAAUAUUUGGUAUUUAUACAUGUGAGUUUGAUUUAUUUCACUCAUCAGUAUGGUCUCAAGCUGCAUCCAUUUACUUAUAUCUCAAUGUGAUCAUUCUUUAUAGCUGAGUAGUACUCCAUUGUAUAAAAAUACCACAACUUUUAAUCCAUUUCUCAGUUGAUGGACACUUAGGUUGUUUCCAAGAUCUGGCUAUUACAAAUUGUGCUGCUAUACACAUGGGGGCACAUAUAUCACUGUGGUAUGAUGCUUUUAGUUCUUGUGGGAAUAUGCUUAGAAAUGGAAUAGCUGGUUCAAAAGGUACUUCCAAUCCCAGCUUUCUGAAUAAUCUCCAGACUGACCUCGACAAUGGUUGCACUAGUCUACACUCCCACCAACAGUGCAGGAGAGUUCCUUUUACCCCACAGCCUCUCCAGCAUUUGUUGUUGUUGGUUUUCUUGA